AUUGAACGCUGGCGGCAUGCCUUACACAUGCAAGUCGAACGGCAGCACGGGUGCUUGCACCUGGUGGCGAGUGGCGAACGGGUGAGUAAUAUAUCGGAACGUACCUUAUUGUGGGGGAUAACGCAGCGAAAGCUGUGCUAAUACCGCAUAAUCCCUAAGGGGGAAAGCGGGGGACCGUAAGGCCUCGCGCAAUUAGAGCGGCCGAUACCUGAUUAGCUAGUUGGUGAGGUAAAGGCUCACCAAGGCAACGAUCAGUAGCUGGUCUGAGAGGACGAUCAGCCACACUGGGACUGAGACCCGGCCCAGGCUCCUACGGGAGGCAACAGUGGGGAAUUUUGGACAAUGGGGGCAACCCUAAUCCAGCAAUGCCGCGUGAGUGAAGAAGGCCUUCGGGUUGUAAAGCUCUUUUGUCAGGGAAGAAACAGCAGCUCUAACACAGUUUGCGAAUGACGGUACCUGAAGAAUAAGCACCGGCUAACUACGUGCCAGCCGCCGCCGUAA
rnacentral:rRNA from 1 species